ACAAAAACAUAACCUUUAGACACAAACAAAUAUUAAAGGCAACGCCUGCCCAGUGAACAAUUAAACGGCCGCGGUACCCUAACCGUGCAAAGGUAGCAUAAUCAUUUGUCUAUUAAUUGUAGACCAGUAUGAAAGGCAAAAUGAGGGUCUAACUGUCUCUUAUAGUCAAUCAAUUAAACUGAUCCCCUAGUAAAAAAGCUAGGAUAUUUACAUAAGACCAGAAGACCCUGUGAAGCUUAAACUAAACUAUUAUACCCUAUAAUAAUUACUUUCGGUUGGGGCGACCUUGGAAUAAAAAAGAACUUCCAAACACACGACUAUAACCCGUACCAACUAGGCCCACAAGCCUGGCCAAAUUUGACCCAGCUAAAGCUGAUCACUGAACCAAGCUACUCCAGGGAUAACAGCGCUAUCCUCUUCAAGAGCCCAUAUUAAAAAGAGGGUUUACGACCUCGAUGUUGGAUCAGGACAUCCUAAUGGUGCAGCCGCUAUUGAGGGUUCGUUUGUUCAACGAUUAAUAGUCCUACGUGAUCUA
rnacentral:rRNA from 1 species